GCUAGUAAUCGCAGAUCAGCAUGCUGCGGUGAAUACGUUCCCGGGUCUUGUACACACCGCCCGUCACACCAUGGGAGUCGGAAAUGCCCGAAGUCGGUGACCCAACCGGAAGGAGGGAGCCGCCGAAGGCAGGUCUGAUAACUGGGGUGAAGUCGUAACAAGGUAUC
rnacentral:rRNA from 1 species